rnacentral:rRNA from 1 species
GACGAACGCUGGCGGCGCGCUUAACACAUGCAAGUCGAGCGAAGCGGCGGACGGGUGAGUAACACGUGAUUAACCUGCCUUAGACAUUGGGCUGGCCUCGGGAACCCGGGAUUAAUACCAAAUGUUCUAAGAGGGACUCGCCUCCCAUUAGCUGGUUGGUGAGGUAACGGCCCACCAAGGCGACGAUGGGUAGCCGGCAUGAGAGGGUGAACGGCCACAUUGGAACUGAGCAACGGUCCAAACUCUACGGGAGGCAGCAGUGGGGAAUAUUGCACAAUGGAGGGAACUCUGAUGCAGCGACGCCGCGUGAACGAAGAAGGCUUUCGAGUCGUAAAGUUCUUUUAUAUGGGAAGCGGUACCAUAAGAAAAAGCCCCGGCUAACUACGUGCCAGCAGCCGCGGUAAUUC